UUCAAUAACUUAAAUGCCCAUGGGCGAUCUGAAUUGACCACGAUGUCGCCCGAUUACAAUUAAGGACAAAGUUUAAUAUGUAUUAAGCCGCGUAUCUGCUCGCAGAGUGGUAACAUGUUCCAUCACUUAUCCAAGCUUGGGUAAACGGGCUUGACCCAACCCCUUGGGUGGAUGAUGGCACAUGGCAAACCAGGAGGGA
rfam:Anopheles gambiae M scf_1925498548 genomic scaffold, whole genome shotgun sequence.